UACUGGAAUACGAUUGGCGCAUUUUCUAGAAAGAUAAAACGUACUUACGUAUUUAUUCUCUCUUAGUGAUACAACGCAAAAUCACUAUAUUAAUAGACGCUUGUCUAAUGCUUAUCUAAUAAAUAAUAUUGCAUUGUAAAAUUUCAAUGUAAUUGACGUAAACGAGAGAAUAACACUAUUUUAAGUUCAAUAUGUCAAGGUCUUUAAAUAGUUCACUGAUCUUCUGGAAUACAAAACACAAUCCCGUGCAUACAUCACAUUUCUUUAUAAUUGGAAUUUCAUUUCAAAAGCCGUAAAAGAAAGUUUUAAUUAAACUAAUGAUUUAACUUAUAGAAAUAUGUUAGACAAGUGUACGAUUAAGACGUUCUAAUGUAGUGAUACACAUUUUCAUUGAUCUUUAAAUUCAAUUAUCUGGCUACAAAGGUUUUCAACUGACCUCAGCCGAUUUAUCAUUUAUCAUUUAUUCGAAAUUGACGUUUAACCUUUCAAGGCCGGGG
rnacentral:misc_RNA from 1 species